GGCGGACGGGUGAGUAUCGCGUAGGGAUUUAUCGUUGGGUGGGGGAUAACCUUGGGAAACUGGGGCUAAUACCGCAUGACGCCUGUGGGCCAAAGCAGCAAUGCGCCUGAUGAGGAGCCUGCGUCCGAUUAGCUUGUUGGUGGGGUAAAGGCCUACCAAGGCUGCGAUCGGUAGCUGGUCUGAGAGGAUGAUCAGCCACACUGGGACUGAGACACGGCCCAGACUCCUACGGGAGGCAGCAGUGGGGAAUAUUGGACAAUGGGCGCAAGCCUGAUCCAGCAAUGCCGCGUGGAUGAAGAAGGUUUUCGGAUUGUAAAGUCCUUUCGGCGGGGACGAUGAUGACGGUACCCGCAGAAGAGCCCCGGCUAACUUCGUGCCAGCAGCCGCGGUAAUACGAAGGGGGCUAGCGUUGCUCGGA
rnacentral:rRNA from 1 species